rnacentral:rRNA from 1 species
GAUGAACGUUGGCGGUGUGCCUAAUACAUGCAAGUCGAACGGUGAACGAGUUUUGUAGUAAUACGAAAUGAAAUCACAGUGGCGAAACGGGUGAGUAACGCGUUGGUGAUCUGCCUCGAAGUGUGGGAAUAACGGCUCCGUAAAGGAGCGCUAAUACCGCAUGUGCUCUCGAUGUUUAGAAAGUUGAGAGUAAAGGAUUUAUUCGCUUCGAGAGGAGCCUGCGUCCCAUCAGCUGGUUGGUAGGGUAACGGCCUACCAAGGCAAUGACGGGUAGGGGACCUGAGAGGGUGGCCCCCCACAAUGGAACUGAAACACGGUCCAUACACCUACGGGUGGCAGCAGUAGGGAAUAUUAGAAAUGGACGAAAGUCUGAUCUAGCGACACCGCGUGUGCGAAGAAGGCCUUCGGGUUGUAAAGCACUUUUUGGAAGGAAUAGGAAGGAAGGUACUUCCAGAAUAAGUCUCGGCUAACUACGUG